CAUCACAGUUUCGCUGGGAGAAAGGAAAAACUACUCGCGGAUAGUUCCUGGGAUCAGAUUUUAUUAAGCUUGUUUACAAAAUGUACCUUCUUUGUAGAGAAUGACAGCUAACCACUUGAUAAAUCCCUAUGUAUUUGAACAGGUAUUUUGACCCACUUUUCUGUGCCAAUGCCUCAUAACUGAUCGGCACAAUUUGAGAAGAGAAAAUGUGAAUUUUUGAAGUAAUGGCAGGCCCAUGCUCCAACAUAAUAUUUUUAUUAUGAUUAUUUGGGAACAUCACGUAAUGUACCCUAAUCAUACUUACUUCCCACUCCUUCCAGAUCCACUACCUUAUUGUGACUUCCCCCCCUAAAAAAGAAGAUAAAACAAUACCAAGUCAAAUUCGUGUUGCCCAUAUACUCACUGAAGCAUGGCCAAACUCCCAAUGGCUAGCCUCUUAAAGAAAACUGAGUCCUUCCCCACCCGCACCGCCUCCAGAAGCCAUAAACUGUGAAUAGUUACACUUCAGCAUCCCUAUCACAAAUUUUAAGAGUUUUCUUCAAUGACUUCUUGUCUAGAUUGUUUCUUUUUUUGGGUGGACGUGGGUGAGAGAAGCUUGUCACAGAAGCCUUCAAUGUCUCUUAUUCUCAACUGUGAGUCUGCAGUCAUCAAUACCACUGCAAAAGAAGCUUUCUUGUCCUUUAUAAUCAGUGGCAGCAUGGAUCAUGGACUUCCAUAUGGUCUCUGGUGACACUAUGGACCAUCAAUAUCAACACAGCCCUUGGUUGCAACAUGGAUCACAGACACCAUCAUGGAUGGCCCUUGGCAGCAGAACAGGCCAUGGACAUCAACAUGGCUUCAGGAGGCAGCACAGACCAUGGAUACCCACACAGACAAAAGCUCUAAUUUCAAAGCUGCUUGCCUUUGUUGUUGACGGAGACAAUGAACUAUGUCUCUCAGUAAGUUUUUGAGCUGCUUCUCUGCUAUCAGCCUUACAUCUUUCUGAAGCAAGCCAACACCGUGUUCUCUCCAGCCCACCAGCCUAUGCGACUGUGCGAGAAGGGUUAAUCUUGUUAUGCUGCAAAGGGAAGCAGAUUCUUUGGGAAUCUCGGCUGUGGCUUCCUUUGACCAUUUCCACUCCUGUGCUUCAGAGGACCAAAUCUCAAUAGACACCCCUUACUCCAUGAUCAAUGCUUCCAAAUGGAAUAUAUAUCUGCCAAAGUCACAGACUUUUCAAUGUUUCUGUUUAUUAACAAUUGGAAAAAAAAAACCGUACUUAAAAUGGGCAUAUUGUAGUCAAUUUAAGAUAAACUCUGUCUUCACGAAAUACAAGGAAGCAGAGUGCAAUUGUUUUAUUGUGUCUUUCGUGUGGCUCUCCAUACCUGCUGUAUUAAUCAGGAUUCACUCAAUUCAGAGUUCAUAAAGUGAAUUUGUAUUGAAUGAGUUAUAAAGUAAGGUGCUAGUGGGGAGACAGGAAUCCCAGUGAGACUGGUAAAGGCAGGGCAAGCAGAGCCGAAACAGAUGCUACAGCAUUGAUUAUUCUGUCUUCCUCUUUCUCCCACCCCUCUCCCUUUCUGUCUCUCUCUCUCUCCUUCCCUCCCUCUCUCUUUUCCCCACUCCUUUCCUCUUUCCCUCCUCCCUCCCUCCUUCCCUUCUUUCUUCCAUCACUUCUUUCCCCAUUCCCUUCUUCUCUUCACUCCCUGGCUCUGAAGCAUUCUCGACAGAUGUGUGCUCAUGCUGGACAGAGGCCGUGCAGAGCUCCUGCCUCCCUACUUCAUCUUGCCUCGCUUUCACAGCACCUUUGGAAACAGGCUUCCUCUGCUGAUUGAGGAACCCAGGCUUGAACACUCUUCUGGAACUGUCAGCUGGGUGUAUAGUAAAGGGGGUCGUGGAAGGAUGAGAACCCGGAUUCAGCAUGAAUCUAUCCUGUGUCAUAUGGAGUUCACCAUGGGAACAAGGGCUCACACCAUACUGUGGCUUUCCAGUCCAAGGGACUGAGGGUGAAGAAGAGGUGCUUCAGGUGAAGUAAUGGAAGUCAGGAGGAUCUCUGAGAUUUUCUUUUGCACACCCCUGAUUGACACUCAUGUAAAUUUUUUAUGCAUAAUAAAAAGAUUCAUCCAA